rnacentral:tRNA from 1 species
GGAGAGAUGGCCGAGUGGUCGAAGGCGCACGCCUGGAGAGCGUGUAAGGGGGUAACUCCUUCGUGGGUUCGAAUCCCACUCUCUCCGCCA